GAAGUACUUACCUCAGCAGGCUGCCCGCAUGAGAUCGAUAAGUGGGCGGCGGCGAAUUUCCACGCACCACGCCAUUCUGGCGAUCGCGGUCCAACAGCAAAAGUCUGCGGGAUAGAAAAGCGGAAAGGAUUCGGAUAUUUCACAGAUCACUUGAAGUCCCAGUUUUUAGGAUGGUCCUUAACUUUGUAACUGCUAUGAAACACUUUUUGAAGUCCCGGUCAUUUCCCGCUUGUUACGACUUUUGGGAAUUGCCCCGUUUUAGGCCCGGAAAAACACUGCUUUUGCCGAGGCUGCGGCGACGGAAAACGCGAACGAACUGACUGGUUGGGAAACUGGACAAAGGCUUUUCAAUGCAAACUUGGCUCGAAGAAAAAACCCAACACUCGCUCUCUCUUCGAUUUUUGGAAAACCCCUUGCUUCCCACCGGAAAAUGCGUGGAAAAUGUUUGUUUACAUUUGGCAGGACAACAUAAGGGGGCAAAGGAGGCAAUUGGAUGUUGCCUACUUUCGGGCAGUGAAAUAUGACUUCUGCAAUCGAAGCGAAGAUGCAAUUGCUUUUGGCCCAAAUGUGCCUGCAACAAGCUGCUCCGGAAGUGUUAGUAAUCCGGGCUGAAACCGAUUCUCGGCACUGUUCUUUAUUUUAGACUAUCAAGGCUUUAUCUCUAAUGAACUAUCUCGCUGGCUGCUGAUGGACGAACUUUUUUAAUUAUCAUUAAUGAACACGGAGGGCGCAAUCAUUGGCCAAGUUGCGCUCUGCAAUUAUUUUAAUGUUCAAUGAGGUUGCUGCAGCAGUCAUCGCCAAUGAUUUAUUGCCGCCCCUUAGCUUUUCCAAAGGCCAGAGUCCAUAGUCCGUUUUCCGUAGUCCGUAGUCCGGAGUCCAAAGUCCGUAGUCCAAAGUGUGUGAGAGUUGCCGACAUUGGCAAUUAGAAAGCUGGAAGGCGGGAGGGAAGGUCCAUGAAACAGCGUUUAUGUUUAAUGCGUUAUAAUGGCCGUUGUAAGUGUACAUAAGUUGAUAUAAAAGUUUUAUGGUCCGUUCGUGAGCAGCCUCCGGCAUCCGAUAUGGAAAAAGGAAAAUGGGGCGGGGUUGGGUUUGGGGGGCCGAGAAUAGUACGACCACAAUGU